ensembl:snRNA U1 U1 spliceosomal RNA
AAACUUACCUGGCAGGGGAGAUACCAUGAUCAUGAAGGUGGUUUUCCCAGGGAGAGGCUCACCCAUUGCACUCCAGAUGUGUUGACCCCUGCGAUUUCCCCAAAUGUGGGAAACUCGACUGCAUAAUUCAUGGUAGUGGGGCCUGCAUUCGCACUCUCCCCUG